GGCACUAUGCCGGAGUGGUUAACGGGUGCCCCUGCUAUCAUGCAUUGAGGGUAUGGCAUUUGUCGCGUGUGUUCGAAUCACACUGGUGUCG